GACGAACGCUGGCGGCGUGCUUAACACAUGCAAGUCGAACGAGUGGCGAACGGGUGAGUAAUACGUGGGUAACCUGCCCUCUUUUUGGGAUAAGCCUUGGAAACGGGGUCUAAUACCGAAUAAAGGGGGAUGGGCUCGCGGCCUAUCAGCUUGUUGGUGGGGUGAUGGCCUACCAAGGCGGUGACGGGUAGCCGGCCUGAGAGGGUAACGGGGCAUAGUGGGAUUGAGAUACGGCCAAGACUCCGACGUGAGGAAGCAGUGGGGGAUAGUGCAAAAUGGGCAAAAGCCUGAUGCGGCGACGCCGCGGGGGGGAGGAGGGCUUUCGGGUUGUACACCUCUGUCGCAUUAGAAAGGGGAGGUGGAGAAGAAGCGCCGGCUAACUACGUGCCAGCAGCCGCGGUAAUUC
rnacentral:rRNA from 1 species